GACGAACGCUGGCGGCAGGCCUAACACAUGCAAGUCGAACGGUAACAGGAAACAGCUUGCUGUUUCGCUGACGAGUGGCGGACGGGUGAGUAAUGUCUGGGAAACUGCCUGAUGGAGGGGGAUAACUACUGGAAACGGUAGCUAAUACCGCAUAACGUCGCAAGACCAAAGAGGGGGACCCUCGGGCCUCUUGCCAUCGGAUGUGCCCAGAUGGGAUUAGCUUGUUGGUGGGGUAACGGCUCACCAAGGCGACGAUCCCUAGCUGGUCUGAGAGGAUGACCAGCCACACUGGAACUGAGACACGGUCCAGACUCCUACGGGAGGCAGCAGUGGGGAAUAUUGCACAAUGGGCGCAAGCCUGAUGCAGCCAUGCCGCGUGUAUGAAGAAGGCCUUCGGGUUGUAAAGUACUUUCAGCGGGGAGGAAGGGAGUAAAGUUAAUACCUUUGCUCAUUGACGUUACCCGCAGAAGAAGCACCGGCUAACUCCGUG
rnacentral:rRNA from 1 species